CCAGCAAAGGGGAACAGGCCGA
rnacentral:miRNA from 1 species